rnacentral:rRNA from 1 species
UAGGGAAUAUUAGUAAUGGGCGAAAGCCUGAACUAGCAACACCGCGUGUGCGAAGAAGGCCUUCGGGUUGUAAAGCACUUUUUGAGAGGAUGAGGAAGGACAGUACUCUUAGAAUAAGCCUCGGCUAACUACGUGCCAGCAGCCGUGGUAAAACGUAGGAGGCGAGCGUUAUCCGGAUUUACUGGGCGUAAAGCGUGUGUAGGCGGUUUGAUAAGUUGGAUGUGAAAGCUCCUGGCUUAACUGGGAGAGGUCGUUCAAAACUAUCAGACUUGAGAGUGGUAGAGGGAGGUGUAAUUCCGGGUGUAGCGGUGGAAUGCGCAGAUAUCCGGAGGAACACCAGUGGCGAAAGCGGCCUCCUGGACCACUCCUGACACUCAGACGCGAAAGCUAGGGUAGCAAACG